GACGAACGCUGGCGGCGUGCUUAACACAUGCAAGUCGAACGAAGAGCGAUGGAAGCUUGCUUCUAUCAGUCUUAGUGGCGAACGGGUGAGUCACGCGUAAUCAACCUGCCCUUCAGAGGGGGCCAACAGUUGGAAACGACUGCUCAUACCGCAUACGCUCUAAUCACGGCAUCGCGGAUAGAUGAAAGGUGGCCUCUACAUGUAAGCUAUCAUUGACGGAGGGGAUUGCGGCUGGUUAACUAGUUGGGGGGGUAACGGCCCUACCAGGCGAAGGUCAGGAGCCGGUCUGGAGAGAUGGACCGCCAAAAUGGGAACUGGAAAAGGCCCAGACCUCCACGGGGAGCAGCAGUGGGGGAACUUCCGCAAUGGACGGAAGGCUGACGGAGCAAAGCCGCGUGGGGGGUGACAGGCUUCGGGUUGGUAAAGUCCGUUAAUCGGGACGAAAGGCCUUCGUGCGAAUAGUGAGAAGGAUUGACGGUACCGGAAUAGAAAGCAACGGCUAACUACGUG
rnacentral:rRNA from 1 species